UGCCCUGGCUUCCCUCCAUGAUGGACCGAGACAAGCUAGUGAUGAAGGCUGCAGUGAGAAGAAACGCUGAGGACACUUCUGUUAUUGAAUUAUAAGGAGCCAUGCAGACCAUCUGUAGGACCAGGGGAAAGAAUAUAUAUUUAAGAAACAGGUUUAAAACCUGAUGUUAGAGGAAGAGUGGUUGCAAUGUGACCUGCUGCUUUCCGUUCCUGCCUCCUUGGUUUCUUCACCAUGAUGGACUGGACUUUGAAAUGAAUGUCAAAGGUGAAUACCUGAUGUCGGAAGGGUUGAGUCAUGUAAGAACAGUAAACAAUGGAAUGGAAUUGGUCAUGUUGGAUACAAAGCCCCUGAUGAAGCUGAACCAUUAUUAAUGCUGGAAUUAUAAUGAAAGACGGUGGAAAAGAAAACACAGUACAGGCGAAUCCUUCUGGGCUUAUGCAGAACUUGCCAACGUCACGCAAGCGAGCCCUGGGACGACGAACAUCUGGCAAACCCUGACUUCAGCAGCACAGUACAGAAUGCCCUCGUUUACAUAAACUCAUUUCCUCGAGGAAUAGCUGCAGAAUCUGCUAUUUCAAGAGAAUAUGUGACUAAGUGUUGUUACACCUUUGAGUGAAGGACUUUCCCCCUUAGAAUCAGGCUGCCUACUGACCUUCCUUAAGUCGGAUUUCAUGCCUUUAUAGGCAUAUUGAUUCUACAUGCACUUCC
rnacentral:lncRNA from 1 species